rnacentral:lncRNA from 1 species
GAGAUCCAGCUGGAUGAAUCAUCCUUUAGACACACAACUCUUCUCAGAGACACAGAUCUUUUGAAAGCUGAUGGGGACAUCUUUCUCCAAAGCAAUUCAGGAGUUAAUCCUCAACCAAACAACCCUGUGAAGUAACUCAGGAGUACAGGGUUCAUUUUUUGUUUUCUUCCAAAAACUCUAGGGAAAUGUGGAACACAGUAUCUACAUAUCACUCUUCUGAAAACUUCAGAGAUCCCUCUGUUCUCCAAGCAGAUGGAGAUCCCACUCUAUCAAGGGUUUUGUCUGUUGGCUCUUCCAAAGAGGCUGGUGCUCCUGACUCUUAAGAGUAAGAAAGAGAAAGGUGACGACGAUGAUCCCAACAAGGUCACUCCCAAGAAGGCCGCUCCAGAGGAGGCUGCUCCACAGAUGAGGCUGCUCCCCCUUCAGAGCCACUCCCAAGAAGAGGCCACUCCCAGGACAAGGCCGCUGCUGGAUGAGGUCGCUCCCCGGAUAGGGCCGCUCCCAGGAAGAGGCCACUCUGGAGGAGGCCGCUCCAGACAACGAAGAGGCAACGAUGACAGCAAUGAUGACAAGGAGGACAACCCUGAUGACACAGACUCUGCUCCCCAUAACGCCACGCUGACAAGGCUGCCACCCAGAGGAGGCCACCGCUGCGGACAAGGCUGCUCAUGGCUCAGGGUGGCGAGGCAUUUUGCAGUGAGGCUGCUGGCGGCUAGGGGCCAUUGGCGUCUCAGGACCACUGGCAUCUCGGGGCUGCAGACGUGGAUACUGCUGACAGCUGGACCGCUAUGGUCUUAG